rnacentral:rRNA from 1 species
GACGAACGCUGGCGGCGUGCUUAACACAUGCAAGUCGAACGGAAAGGCCCUGCUUUUGUGGGGUGCUCGAGUGGCGAACGGGUGAGUAACACGUGAGUAACCUGCCCUUGACUUUGGGAUAACUUCAGGAAACUGGGGCUAAUACCGGAUAGGAGCUCCUGCUGCAUGGUGGGGGUUGGAAAGUUUCGGCGGGUGGGGAUGGACUCGCGGCUUAUCAGCUUGUUGGUGGGGUAGUGGCUUACCAAGGCUUUGACGGGUAGCCGGCCUGAGAGGGUGACCGGCCACAUUGGGAAUGAGAUACGGCCCAGACCCCUAGGGGGGGCAGGAGGGGGGAAUAUUGCACAAGGGGGGGAAGCCUGAUGCAGAAACCCCGGGUGGGGGAUGACGGCCUUCGGGUUGGAAACCGCUUUCGCCUGUAACGAAGGGGGAGGGAGGGGAAUGGGUAAAGAAGCACCGGCUAACUACGU